AUUGAACGCUGGCGGCAGGCCUAACACAUGCAAGUCGAGCGGUAGAGAGGUGCUUGCAUCUCUUGAGAGCGGCGGACGGGUGAGUAAUGCCUAGGAAUCUGCCUAGUGGUGGGGGAUAACGUUCGGAAACGGACGCUAAUACCGCAUACGUCCUACGGGAGAAAGCGGGGGGAGUCUUCGGACCUCGCGCCAUUAGAUGAGCCUAGGUCGGAUUAGCUAGUUGGUGAGGUAAUGGCUCACCAAGGCGACGAUCCGUAACUGGUCUGAGAGGAUGAUCAGUCACACUGGAACUGAGACACGGUCCAGACUCCUACGGGAGGCAGCAGUGGGGGAAUAUUGGACAAU
rnacentral:rRNA from 1 species